rnacentral:rRNA from 1 species
UCUUUUAGACAUUGGGUAGGGGAGCGUUCUGUAAGCCGUUGAAGGUGAAUCGUAAGGUUUGCUGGAGGUAUCAGAAGUGCGAAUGCUGACAUGAGUAACGACAAAGGGGGUGAAAAACCUCCUCGCCGGAAGACCAAGGGUUCCUGUCCAACGUUAAUCGGGGCAGGGUGAGUCGACCCCUAAGGUGAGGCCGAAAGGCGUAAUCGAUGGGAAACGGGUUAAUAUUCCCGUACUUCUGACUAUUGCGAUGGGGGGACGGAGAAGGCUAGGUGGGCCAGGCGACGGUUGUCCUGGUUCAAGUGCGUAGGCUUGAGAGUUAGGUAAAUCCGGCUCUCUCUAAGGCUGAGACACGACGUCGAGCUACUACGGUAGUGAAGUCAUUGAUGCCAUGCUUCCAGGAAAAGCCUCUAAGCUUCAGAUAGUCAGGAAUCGUACCCCAAACCGACACAGGUGGUCGGGUAGAGAAUACCAAGGCGCUUGAGAGAACUCGGGUGAAGGAACUAGGCAAAAUGGUACCGUAACUUCGGGAGAAGGUACGCUCUUGAUGGUGAAGUCCCUCGCGGAUGGAGCUGACGAGAGUCGCAGAUACCAGGUGGCUGCAACUGUUUAUUAAAAACACAGCACUGUGCAAAAUCGCAAGAUGACGUAUACGGUGUGACGCCUGCCCGGUGCCGGAAGGUUAAUUGAUGGGGUUAGCGCAAGCGAAGCUCUUGAUCGAAGCCCCGGUAAACGGCGGCCGUAACUAUAACGGUCCUAAGGUAGCGAAAUUCCUUGUCGGGUAAGUUCCGACCUGCACGAAUGGCGUAAUGAUGGCCACGCUGUCUCCACCCGAGACUCAGUGAAAUUGAAAUCGCUGUGAAGAUGCAGUGUACCCGCGGCUAGACGGAAAGACCCCGUGAACCUUUACUACAGCUUGGCACUGAACAUUGAACCUACAUGUGUAGGAUAGGUGGGAGGCUAUGAAGACGUGACGCCAGUUGCGUUGGAGCCGUCCUUGAAAUACCACCCUUGUAUGUUUGAUGUUCUAACUUAGACCCAUUAUCUGGGUUGAGGACAGUGCCUGGUGGGUAGUUUGACUGGGGCGGUCUCCUCCCAAAGAGUAACGGAGGAGCACGAAGGUGGGCUAAUCACGGUUGGACAUCGUGAGGUUAGUGCAAUGGCAUAAGCCCGCUUAACUGCGAGAAUGACGGUUCGAGCAGGUGCGAAAGCAGGUCAUAGUGAUCCGGUGGUUCUGUAUGGAAGGGCCAUCGCUCAACGGAUAAAAGGUACUCCGGGGAUAACAGGCUGAUACCGCCCAAGAGUUCAUAUCGACGGCGGUGUUUGGCACCUCGAUGUCGGCUCAUCACAUCCUGGGGCUGAAGUCGGUCCCAAGGGUAUGGCUGUUCGCCAUUUAAAGUGGUACGCGAGCUGGGUUUAGAACGUCGUGAGACAGUUCGGUCCCUAUCUGCCGUGGG